CAAGUGCCAGCCCCCAGGGAUAACUGCGUUCCAGGCUACAGGGAACUCCAACAGUGUCCCUGAUCAUGGCAGGGCACCAAUCCACAGAGGAUUGGGUUCCUCUUGCACCUCGUUGGCAUAAAAACAUUCUGACCCUCCCCUCCCAAAGCCCAGAGCAGCUGCAAUGUUAAAACCUGCUGAUUUCAGUGCUUCACCCAAUGCCUCAUUGUCAGGUUUAUUUUCAGUGAUGCCAGUGGAUGUUUCCCCCACUCUGAACUAGGAUUUAAAAAUCCCAGGAACUGGGCAUUAAUAAAUGGCAGCUCUUCCACUUGGAGGAUGAGGCAUCACUCACCCUAUUGAGCCAGACUCCCACAGAAGGGGAGAAAAGGAAAAACCUGGUUUUCUCUCAUUUUCUUUUUGUUCCCAGGCUGCUGAGGCUCAGUUCUGGAGUGAUAACUUUGAAGUGCUGUGAGGAUCCACUGGAUUUUGGCACCAAUCCUGGGGAUGUGUUGGCAUCUUCACUCUACCCUCCUUCCCCAGGGUGAUAUUUGUCAGGGACCUCUCCAUGGUUUCAAACCAGGUCCAGAACUGGACACACCAUCCUGCACACCACAUUUAGAGGCUGGAACUGAUGCAAAGAAAGAGUAGCUGCAGCAGGGGAAAAAAAAUAUAGGAAAAGGAAAGAAGAGCCUGGAGGCAACAGGUCAGAAAAUAAAUAAAAAAUGAGAAAUUAUAUUAUUUGGAAA
rnacentral:lncRNA from 1 species